rnacentral:lncRNA from 1 species
UGUUCUAGGCAGUUUGUUUUUCCAUAUUGAAACAAAGAAACUUGCUGAGAUUUUUAUUGUAAUUACUUUGUCUGCAUAUUGAUUUGGAAUUAACUUUGGAAUAAUAUUGGAUAUUACAAGCCAUGGAAAAUGUUACAAUGUCAUUGCUACAUGAAGAGAAGAUCAAGAGAAUUCAGCCAGAAGACUGUAGAAACAAAGUCAUGAAUCAUGCUGUCCUUGGAUAACCCGGUGUCACCCAGAAUCUCUGUAUCCCUUGGAAAUGUAGACUUUCUCCAACCGCCUCUCCCUCCUUGGUGGCUUCUCUGCCUGGACAGACUUGUCUUUGUAUUAGUAGUGUCACUUUACCUCCUACUACUCAGGAACAGACCAGCCAGUCCCAUGACAAAUUUCCACAAAAUGCCAUGUAUCUUGUAAAUUUAAUGAAUCACUUUGGGAAAAGGUGGGACACAGAGAGCUUAAUGUAAAAAAACCCAUUUUUUUGGUCAGAGUGCUGAAAAAAAUAGAACUUCUUUAACAGGUUCUGAGUAGAAACAUAGCUCAAUGAAGAAAUAAAAGCACCUACUGUUUGAAA